AUUGAACGCUGGCGGCAUGCUUUACACAUGCAAGUCGAACGGCAGCGCGGGCUUCGGCCUGGCGGCGAGUGGCGAACGGGUGAGUAAUACAUCGGAACGUGCCCAGUAGUGGGGGAUAGCUCGGCGAAAGCCGGAUUAAUACCGCAUAAGACCUGAGGGUGAAAGCGGGGGAUCUUCGGACCUCGCGCCAUUGGAGCGGCCGAUGGCAGAUUAGCGAGUUGGUGGGGUAAAGGCCUACCAAGGCGACGAUCUGUAGCUGGUCUGAGAGGACGACCAGCCACACUGGGACUGAGACACGGCCCAGCCUCCUACGGGAGGCAGCAGUGGGGAAUUUUGGACAAUGGGCGAAAGCCUGAUCCAGCAAUGCCGCGUGUGUGAUGAAGGCCUUCGGGUUGUAAAGCACUUUUGGCGGGAACGAAAAGGACUGUGCCAAUACCACGGUUCGAUGACGGUACCCGCAGAAUAAGCACCGGCUAACUACGUG
rnacentral:rRNA from 1 species